rnacentral:rRNA from 1 species
AUGCGUCAUCGUCGGCAACAUGGAGGCGAGUCACCGGCGAGUUGCAUCACCGGCGACGAAGAUGGAGGCGAGUCACUGGCGAGUUGCGUCACCGGCGAUGAACAUGGAGGCGAGUCAUCGGCGAGUUGUGGCACCGGUGGCGAACAUGAGGCAGCGAGCGUGUCGCGGUGGCACACUCGUGGUGAAGGUGUAGUAGGUGCGGUUCUCAUGAAAACUAGCGCGACGGCGGCAAUCGGCGUGACAAGAUGGCAUUGGCGGUCGUCUGCGUGUCGCACCGACGACAUCGACGACCAUAGUCUUCAAGAGAGAAAUAAGUUAACAAGAUUAGAGAGGUGA